GACGAACGCUGGCGGCGUGCUUAACACAUGCAAGUCGAACGGAAAGGCCCUGCUUUUGUGGGGUGCUCGAGUGGCGAACGGGUGAGUAACACGUGAGUAACCUGCCCUUGACUUUGGGAUAACUUCAGGAAACUGGGGCUAAUACCGGAUAGGAGCUCCUGCUGCAUGGUGGGGGUUGGAAAGUUUCGGCGGUUGGGGAUGGACUCGCGGCUUAUCAGCUUGUUGGUGGGGUAGUGGCUUACCAAGGCUUUGACGGGUAGCCGGCCUGAGAGGGUGACCGGCCACAUUGGGACUGAGAUACGGCCCAGACUCCUACGGGAGGCAGCAGUGGGGAAUAUUGCACAAUGGGCGGAAGCCUGAUGCAGCAACGCCGCGUGCGGGAUGACUUCCUUCGGGUUGUGAACCGCUUUCGCCUGUGACGAAGCGUUAGUGACGGUAAUGGGUAAAGAAGCACCGGCUAACUACGUG
rnacentral:rRNA from 1 species